GUCCUUUCGUGCAUUCCUCUUCAAUUAUUGGCACAAGAGCCUCUUUUGCCUUGGCCAAGUUGUCGGUUUCCUGUACUGUAUACCUACAUCAACGGAAUUUGUUGGGCAAUCUAUCCAAAGUUUUCCCAUUGCUGCCCGAUUACACGGUGCGGCAUYGGGCAAACCUKGAAGCGAAAUUCGUGUCCCGAAUUGCAUAUAAAUUUCUAUACAGUCUCGGCCCACGAGCGUAGCUUGAUUUCGGGGAUUCGGAAAACACUGCAUGUAAGGGUCGGAUAACCCGCUAUUGGCCCACGAAUUGGCAUUACAUGCCCCAUUCGAUCGACGCUCGAUGCCUCAUAGAUGUUUUACAUCUUGCGACUCGAUGUCYCUGAAGAAWGCUACCUGGUUGAUCCUGCCAGUAGUCAUAUGCUUGUCUCAAAGA
rnacentral:misc_RNA from 1 species